rfam:Edhazardia aedis TSNM 41457 supercont1.31, whole genome shotgun sequence.
GCUGCGGUCGUCUAGUGGUUAGGACGCUACGUUGUGACCGUAGUAACCUAGGUUCGAAUCCUGGUCGCGGCA